UAGAUAUAUUGGGGUUUGAACCCAAGACCAUUGGAUUAAAAGUCCAGUGCUCUAAACCAACUGAGCUAUACAUCU
rnacentral:tRNA from 1 species